ACUUCUGUAGGUGAACCUGCGGAAGGAUCAUUACCGAGUGCAGGUCUGCCCCCGGGCAGGCCUAACCUCCCACCCGUGAAUACCUGACCAACGUUGCUUCGGCGGUGCGCCCCCCCCGGGGGUAGCCGCCGGAGACCACACCGAACCUCCUGUCUUUAGUGUUGUCUGAGCUUGAUAGCAAACCUAUUAAAACUUUCAACAAUGGAUCUCUUGGUUCCGGCAUCGAUGAAGAACGCAGCGAACUGCGAUAAGUAAUGUGAAUUGCAGAAUUCAGUGAAUCAUCGAGUCUUUGAACGCACAUUGCGCCCCCUGGCAUUCCGGGGGGCAUGCCUGUCCGAGCGUCAUUGCUGCCCUUCAAGCCCGGCUUGUGUGUUGGGUCGUCGUCCCCCCCGGGGGACGGGCCCGAAAGGCAGCGGCGGCACCGCGUCCGGUCCUCGAGCGUAUGGGGCUUUGUCACCCGCUCGAUUAGGGCCGGCCGGGCGCCAGCCGGCGUCUCCAACCUUCUAUUUUACCAGGUUGACCUCGGAUCAGGUAGGGAUACCCGCUGAACUUAAGCAUAUCAAUAAGCGGAGGAAUC
rnacentral:rRNA from 1 species